UACGUAGGGUGCAAGCGUUGUCCGGAAUUAUUGGGCGUAAAGAGCUCGUAGGCGGUCUGUCACGUCGGCUGUGAAAACCUGGGGCUCAACCCCGGGCCUGCAUCCGAUACGGGCAGACUAGAAUUCGGUAGGGGAGACUGGAAUUCCUGGUGUAGCGGUGGAAUGCGCAGAUAUCAGGAGGAACACCAAUAGCGAAGGCAGCUCGCUGGGACGUUACUGACACUGAGGCGCGAAAGCGUGGGGAGCGAACAGG
rnacentral:rRNA from 1 species